rnacentral:misc_RNA from 1 species
UACGAGAGCCUCGAGCGUUACCCGGAAUAAUUGGGCGUAAAGGGUCCGCAGGCGGAUUUGUGCGUCUACUGUAAAAUCAUAGGGCUCAACCCUAUGCCUGCAGUAGAUACGGCAAAUCUAGAGACAGGGAGAGGUAGACGGAACUCCUAGUGGAGCAGUGAAAUGCGUUGAUAUUAGGGGGAACACCAAUUGCGAAGGCAGUCUACUGGUCCUGUUCUGACGCUGAGGGACGAAAGCGUGGGUAGCGAAUGGG